UUUCCGUAGGUGAACCUGCGGAAGGAUCAUUAUUGUAUAACCGCGAUGCGAUUACUGACGAUGACCCGCACGGUCGUGCAAGCCUUAGUGCCGUCACAAACUUCUAUCACCCCCCUAUCUGCACUACCGCGAGCGGCCAGCGUUGGCUACAUCGGACUGGGGAUUCAGUCUAACCAAAAUCUUUGUAUGCAUGGCUGAAUUUAUUUUUUGCAUUUGAAAUCACGCAUUCUAUACAUCUUUCAAUAACGGAUCUCUUGGCUCAAGCACCGAUCAAAAACG
rnacentral:misc_RNA from 1 species